rnacentral:rRNA from 1 species
UAAAAUAAUUAAGGGCACACAAAGGAUGCCUAGGUAGUAAGAGCCGAUGAAGGACGUGGUAAGCUGCGAUAAGCCUAGAUAAGUUGCAAUCGAACGUAAGAGUCUAGGAUUUCCGAAUGGAGCAAUCUAUUAAGAUGGAGUCUUAAUACGAAAGAGGGAACCGCGUGAACUGAAACAUCUAAGUAACGCGAGGAAAAGAAAGUAAAAACGAUACCCAAAGUAGCGGCGAGCGAAAUGGGUCAAGCCUAAACCUUAAAUAUGUCAAGGAUACAGCCGUUGUAUUUAAGGGGUUGAGGGACUAAGUUGUGAAGAACUGUAAGAUAUUCAAUAUAGUGUAUUGAUGAAUUAGAAUUGUAUGGAAAGAUAAACCGUAGAAGGUGAGAGUCCUGUAUAAGUAAAUCCUUACACAUAUAACUUGGCUCCCAAGUAGCAUGGAACACGAGGAAUUCUGUGUGAAUCAGUGAGGACCAUAUCUCAUAAGGCUAAAUACUCUUACUAACCGAUAGCGCAUAGUACCGUGAGGGAAAGGUGAAAAGAACCCCUGGAGGGGAGUGAAAUAGAACCUGAAAUUGUGUGCUUACAAGCGGUCAGAGCCAGUGAUGGUGAUGGCGUGCCUUUUGGAGAAUGAUCCUGCGAGUUACGUUAAACGGCGAGGUUAAGUAUAACGGAGCCGAAGGGAAACCAAGUCUUAAUAGGGCGAUUUAGUCGUUUGGCGUAGACGCGAAACCUGGUGAUCUAAACCUGUCCAGGAUGAAGCUGUGGUAAGACACAGUGGAGGUCCUAACCCACCGCCGUUGAAAAGUUGGGGGAUGAGGUAGGUUUAGGGGUGAAAAGCCAAUCGAACCAGGAGAUAGCUCGUUCUCUCCGAAAUGCAUCUAGGUGCAGCCUUGAGUGUUCAAUUAUGGGGGUAGAGCACUGAAUGAUCUAGGGGGCAUAUUGCUUACUGAAAUCAAUCAAACUCCAAAUACCAUAAUUUAUAGCUCAGGAGUGAGACCAUGGGAGUUAACUUCCAUUGUCAAAAGGGAAACAACCCAGACCACCAGCUAAGGUCCCUAAUUAUAACUAAGUGGGAAAGGAGGUGGAGAUUCACAAACAACUAGGAGGUUGGCUUAGAAGCAGCCAUACCUUUAAAGAGUGCGUAAUAGCUCACUAGUCGAGAGUCUCUGCGCCGACAAUGUAACGGGGCUAAGUUAUAAACCGAAGCUGUGGAAUCCUUAUGGAUUGGUAGGAGAGCGUUCUGUAGGCCGUUGAAGAAGAAGGGUAACCAACUUUGGAGGUAUCAGAAGUGAGAAUGCAGGAAUAAGUAGCGAGAAAGGGGGCGAGAAUCCCCCUCGCCGGAAGACCAAGGUUUUCAGGGUAAAGCUUGUCUUCCCUGAGUAAGCCGGGACCUAAGCCCAGGCUAUAAUGCGUAGGCGAAUGGAAAACAGAUUAAUAUUUCUGUGCCAGUCAUUUAUUGUGAUGGAGGGACGCAGAAGGGUAUGUGCGCGGACGAUCGGUUGUGUCCGUAGAAGUAUGUAGGAUGACUUAAUAGGAAAAUCCAUUAAGUUAUAUCUGAGGUAUGAUAUACAGUCGUAAGAUGAAUGUGCAAAUCCCACGCUGCCAAGAAAAACUUCUAGCGUUAAUAUAUGACUGCCCGUACUGUAAACCGACACAGGUGGUCAGGAUGAGAAAUCUAAGGCGGACAGGCUAACUCUCGUUAAGGAACUCUGCAAAAUAACCUCGUAACUUCGGGAGAAGAGGAGCCCUUGUGUGUUAGUAUACAUGCGAUACAAAGCGCACGAGGGUCGCAGUGAAGAGGCUCAAGCAACUGUUUAACAAAAACACAGGUCUAUGCUAAGCUGUAAGGCGAUGUAUAUGGGCUGACACCUGCCCAGUGCUGGAAGGUUAAGAGGAGGAGUGAGAGCUCCGAAUUGAAGCCCCAGUGAACGGCGGCCGUAACUAUAACGGUCCUAAGGUAGCGAAAUUCCUUGUCGGGU